GGGAAGGUGGCUCAGUGGUAGAGCACUUGCCUUGCAUUCAUGAGGCCCUGGGUUCGAUUCCUCAGCACCCCA
rfam:Dipodomys ordii contig_32571, whole genome shotgun sequence.